rnacentral:lncRNA from 1 species
UUUUUUUUUUUUGUUUGUUUGUUUUUUGAUACAGAGUUUCACUCUUGUUGCCUAGGGUGGAGUACAAUGGCGUGAUCUCAGCUCACCACAAGCUCUGCCUCCCGGGGUCAAGCGAUUCUCCCCAGUAGCUGAGAUUACAGGCAUGCGCCACCACGUCCGGCUAAUUUUGUAUUUUUAGUAGUGAUGGGGUUUCUCCGUGUUGGUCAGGCUGGUCUCGAACUCCUGACCUCAGGUGAUCCGUCUGCCUCAGCCUCCCAAAGUGCUGGGAUUACAGGAGUGAGCCACCGAGCCUGGCCGCUUCCGGUCUUUGGAUUUGAUUUUCCUCAAGUGUAAUUGAAAGCAGGGGCCUGGAUGGCCGCCAUAGUCCCUCCCAGCUUCGACAUUACACAUUCCUGCCAAUCCAUUUUUCAGGCUGAUAACAUUGUUCAGAGUUUAAUGGGAGCAGGGUAAGAUAGUCACCGUGUGGAGCAAAAAUUGAAGGAAAUAUUCCAGAUGUCAUGAUUUUUUACCUGUAGCCCCUCUGCUGCCACACCCUUGUGCACAUCCUCCAGACACUUUUAAAGAAUAAACUCUAUUUUCAGAAGAGUUUUAGAUUUACAGGAGAAUUGUGAAAACAGUUCAAAAAGUUCUCAUAUACCCUGCUCCCAGUUUUCCCUGUUACUAACGCUUUGCAUUAGUGUGGCACAUUUGCCACAAUUAAUGGACCAAUAUUGAUACAUUAUUAUUUACUGAAGUUGAAACAUUACUUUAGUUUUUACCUGGUCCAGGAUCCCAUCUGGGAUCCCACAUCACAUUUAGUGAUCAUGUCUUCUUAGAUUGCCCUGGGCUGUGCCGCUUUCUCAGACUCUCCUGGUUUGUGAUGACAUUGACAGUCUUGAGUUUUGAUGACCAGUUUUGACUGGUCAGGUAUUUCAUAGAACGUACCUCUGUGAGGGUUGUCUGAUUCUUCUUCUUAUUAGAUUGGGAUUAUGGAGGAAGGCCACAGAGGUAAAGUUCCGCUUUUAUGAAAUCAAGGGUAGGCACCAUCAGCAUGACCUAUCACUGAUGUUGACUUUGAUUACCUGGCUGCUGUAGUGGUUGUCAGGUUUGUCCACUUUAAAGAUACUUUUGUGUUUUUGUUCUUUCUUAACUCCCUUUUUAUAUUAAACUCUUCAGAAGGAAGUCACUGUGCAUAGCCAUCCCCUAAGAAGAGGGCAUUCCUGCUCUUCCUUCUCCAUGGCUAGAGGAUCUACAUGAACUAUUUAGAUUUUUUCUACCUGGGAGAUUUAACUCCUCUCUCCUAUUUAUUUAUUUAUAUAUCAGCAUGGACUUGCAGGCCAACAGAGAUUUUGAGAAACACAUUGAAGGAUCUGUUAACACUUGAUAUACCCAAUAAAAGCAGUGGUUGUGCCAGUGCUGAUCUGUCUUGAUGUGAAUGUGAACAAUGGGAACCUGAGCUGAGCAGUUAAUGCUAGGGUGACAGAAACUGGACCUCUCCCAAGACAUGUGACAGAGUAAUACAGCAGCCAACUUCUUCGCCAAAUUAAAGUUUUACAAGAUUUAACCUGUCAUCAAGACCUGGGAUUUUGGUGAAGGACAGAAUAACGGGCUCCCAGAUUCACAAGCCCCACCAAGAGGAUCACCCCAGGAACGCUUGGAGGCUGAGGAGUUCACUGAGGCUACUGCAUCUUGAGACUCAGGAUGAAGACCCAGCUUGGGGCUGUCAAAGGUUUUUUGCAUGUCUGACACCCAUGACUCCACCUGGACCUUAUGGCUCCACCCAGAAGCAAUUCAGCCCAACAGGAGGACAGCUUCAACCCAUUACGAUUUCAUCUCUGCCCCAACCACUCAGCAGCAAGCACCUGUUACCUGUCCACCCCCACCCCUUCCCCCAAACUGCCUUUGAAAAAUCCCUAACCUAUGAGCUUUGAAUAAGAUGAGUACGAACUUCAUCGCCCACGUGGCGUGGCCGGCCUCGUGUCUAUUAAAUUCUUUUUCUACUACAA